rnacentral:snRNA from 1 species
AUUGCUUCUUGGCCUUUUGGCUAAGAUCAAGUGUAAAAUAUUUUUUUAGUUUCAUUCUAGUUUCAUCAAUGGGUAAAACUUGUACGAUGCCAGAAUUAACCUCAAUGUUAUGAACCAUUUCUUUCUUUUUUUUUUUUAGAUGGAGUCUUGCUCUUUUACCUAGGCUGGAGUGCAGUGGCACAAUCUCAGCUCACUGCAACCUCC